rnacentral:lncRNA from 1 species
CCAGAAAUGGGAUCUAAGGGGUAAAAAUUUAAUCUAACUAUUCAAUCGAUGGACUGGGAGUGUCUAUAGCUCCGUAUCAUCGAAUAAAAUAUAUAGAAAUAAUCUAUUCAAGAAUCAAAAUAGUAUAUCAAAAUAUACGCCUCCACAUUGAUAUAUAUGCUUUAGUACUAAAACUUAUUAAUAAUAUUUUAUUUUUCUUCGUUACAGGAUGCUGGGAUAUCUGACUCUCAUCCACUAACUGCUGGAGAGGAUAUACA